UACGGAGGGGGCUAGCGUUGCUCGGAAUUACUGGGCGUAAAGCGCACGUAGGCGGACUGUCAAGUCAGGGGUGAAAUCCCGGGGCUCAGCCUCGGAACUGCCUCUGAUACUGUCAGUCUAGAGUCCGGAAGAGGUGGGUGGAAUUCCUAGUGUAGAGGUGAAAUUCGCAGAUAUUAGGAAGAACACCGGUGGCGAAGGCGGCCCACUGGUCCGGAACUGACGCUGAGGUGCGAAAGCGUGGGGAGCAAACAGG
rnacentral:rRNA from 1 species